rnacentral:piRNA from 1 species
UCUGGAGAAAGGGUGUGAGUAUAGU